rnacentral:tRNA from 1 species
GCCUUCCUAGCUCAGUUGGUAGAGCGUUAGACUUUUAAUCUAACGGUCAGGGGUUNGGUAGCUGAAUGGUU